rnacentral:rRNA from 1 species
GGGUCAGUAGGUUGGUCGUGCCACCGGUACGUACUGGUCUCACUGAUUCCUCCUUCCUGAAGAACCGUAAUGCCAUUAAUUUGGUGUUGCGGGGAAACAGGACUGUUACUUUGAAAAAAUUAGAGUGUUUAAAGCAAGCUAACGCUUGAAUACAUUAGCAUGGAAUAAUGAAAUAGUACGAUCGAUCCUAUUUUGUUGGUUUCUAGGAUUGACGUA